ACUCAUAGAAACUAAAAAAUCUAGAGUAAUUGCAGUGUACACAUUAGACUUAUACACACGUGUAUUGACCAUUAUACCCCUACACAUGGUCAGAUAUAUAUUUUCGUUAUUUCUAAGGCAACCAAGCGAUGUGCAUGUCCUUCUGAUUACCAAUAUCACACGAAACCUCAUUUGUCAGACAAGUUGAUUUAUUUUCUUAUUUUCAUAAAGCCCCGUAACUAAAAUCAUCCCCUGCUUAAUCCGCUAUAUAUUAUGUCUUUGGCUCAUCAAUGUUCUAUCAGAACCAGAAUUCCUAAAGCCAUCAUCUUAGAGAACAUGGACAGGUGAUAGAAGAAGACUAGAUUCAAAUAGUUGAUUUGGUAUAAUCCAUAAAUUAUUUUUUCUAAAGUUUAAUUCUUCUUACUGUAACGUUAAGUCAUUGAUGAAUUUUUUGUUCCUCUUUCUUCUGUUGUUUUACAUAAUGAUUAGGAAGUUGAUGAAGAUGAGAACAAAGAGAGAGUGAUGAAAGAGAAACGUGGCUUUCUUCUGCUUACUUUUUUUUUCUGUUACUUAACUUUAUUGCUAAUGAAUAAUGGAUAAUGCUAAAUUUUGUAUUUGUGUGUUGGAUAUUAGUUUAACUUAGUCGGAUAAUGUAAAAUUUAUAUGUGUUAAAAAGUUUAUAUACGAUCGAAUUAGCCUGUAAACAAAGGAAAAAUGAUGAACUUUGAUUUGUGUUUGGAUAUUAGUUGACUUGUAAACAAUAUUAUUGACCCGAUAAACAUAAUACCAAAAGUUACAUUUUAAUAUAAAUAUUUUAACCGGCUAACACAUCUAAUAACAUAUAACAAUUCAUGUAUCCAAUAUAUUUAUUAUUUGUAACAAUUUAUCUUUUAUUUUAGUCAUUUAAAUUUAUUGUUGGCUAGCUAAAAUAUAUACAAUAUUGUAUAACAAUUAUCUUUUCCGUCCUAUUUGAUAUAAAAAAAAGUCUAAAACGUUUUAAUAUGGUUAUAACUAUUUUUCAUGUAUUUUCAAAUUAACCGUCGAGAUUUAUUGUUAUACAGCUAACAUAUUGAAUAACAUAUAGCAAUUUAUAUAUAUGGUAUAUCUAAUAAUUUAUAUUAAUUUAUCUUUUAGGUUAGUCUUUUAAAUUCAUUGUUCGACUGAUAAUAUACAUAAUACUGUUUAACAAUUAGUUUAUCCAUCACAUCUAAUGUAAAUACUAUAUCGAAUUAGUUCUAGUGUUUAAUUCAAUAACAUAGCAUAGUUAGGUGGAAAGCAAACUAGUUAAAUCCAUCAUUUCACGUGUUUGCAUCCCUAAAGAAACUAGUUUAAUGAAUGGCAAAACAGUAAAUAAUUCGUCUUUUCCUUUUAGUUGUGAAAAUCUUCUGCAACAUUCACCAUGGGUUUCAUCAUACAUUUUUGUCUAUUUCCCCCAUACAAUCUUCUGCAAUUUGAUUCGCCCAAACUACCUUUCUAGCUUCAUGUAAUAGGAGCAGGGGCUUAUGCCCUAACACAAUCAUUACAAAACCCCAAUAGCUUCUAACCUACGUACCGUUCUUAUUUUCCUAUGCAUCUAAGGACGGCUUGGUCAUUUCGCAUCUUCCACUUGCAAUUCUCGGCCCACACAAUUCUUCUGUUGGGUAUUUUCCUAAUUUGUCAAUCUUCUAUAGAUAUUAGGCCAAUUCACUCAAAAAUCUAGCCCACUUAUAAAUAGAUCUCUUAAAACUUAACUAAGUGAAAGAAAAACGUGAUUGAUUAAUUAUAUUAUUAAUUUGACUGCUAAUGAUUCGGAUUUCAAUUAAUAUAUUUUUAAAUUUGACAAAAAGUUUUAUGAUUAAACCUAAGUUUGGAUCAAAAUGGUCAAACCAUAACCCAAGAAAUAGUCAUUCUAGUUUAUGAGGUACUUCAAAUUCUAGAUGAACAUUUAUGGACAUUUUUGUCCUUUUAUAAUGAAACAAUUGUUUGCAUUUAUUUUACAUCUUUUAAAUAUUGUUUUAUUAAAACUGAUUUGCAACAUAUUACAUCAUAGAAAAAUAUGACGAUAAUAAUGAGAAAUUAAAGGGUUUUCCACAGUGGAAAAUAGUAAAAUCAGACAUGAUUAAUGAUUAGGAAUACCAAACUGACCUUGUUUUUUAAAAAAGGUGAAUUAUUUGCUCUUGUUCCAACAAUAGCAGACAGGCUUUUAAUACCUUCAACAAAAUCACGACAAUAAUUCUCAUAGUUUAGAUAUGUCUUCUUCUUUUUCAAUUGUCUUAAUCAAUUUUGUCCCGAGUUAGCUUCGGUAAACUAUUGUUAAACAAGCUUGAACUACAAAGUACAAAUUAUAUAGAUAGCCAGGAUUGAUGGUUCACGUCCCAAAACACCAAGACGAAAACACAACACCAAGACGAAAACACAGACCAAACAAGAGGAACAAUGGAAGCGGAAUCAGUUUCAAAACUAAACAUGAUCCAUUAGCGAAAGAAAGUUCUAUUCUGAUAUCGAGAAAAAUCGAUAUCUCUCAUUUUAACAACACCAUGAAUAGAUGCAGAAACAACAUAAACACGAGUAAGUAACCACUAUAACAAGCCAGAGGUUGAAACAGAGCUCGGAACUUACGCACGACAGCCCAAAUCUAGUUUCUCCACAAAAUUUAAGCAAACCACUAAAACCAAUGAAAACAGAGGACUAAAAUCUGAAAUGGACCAAACAGCCAAAAACAAGUCUCACACAUCCAAAAAAAAUCUACAUGGACCAAGGAGAAGAAAAUUACCAUUUUGCCUUUAAUGAUGGUUCAAUAUGAACCAUUAGAUCAGAUAAUCUCUCUUAUAAUAUGAACCGUUAGAUCUUCAGAAGAAAAGGAAUGAGAUAAUUACAACAAUGCAAUUAAUGAAAUCCAUCUUAGCCGUCAGAUCUUUUUUCUGUGUUAUAAUCUGAACCGUCCGAUCUCUCAUUAAAUCUCUCCUUCUCUCGUCUGGGUCCCACCAUAAAUUUAAUCAUUCUUCUUCUUCUUCUUCUUCUUCUUCAUCAUUUCACUCUCAACCACCACGAAAAUUCAUUACAUUCACCAACUAAAGCUCUCUUCUUCAACUCUUCAUCCACAAACAUUUACGUCUGUUUCUUAAGGUCUUUCUACAGCUUAUGACGCCGUGAAACAGCACUCGUGCGUCGUCCUUGGUUCUGAAAUCGCUUGGUAAGUGUAUACUCUCUCCCUCUCUUUUCCUCUCACUCUUCUAUGUCUCUCUUUAUUUUUCUAAUGUUUUAUGUUUCAGUUUAGUCACAUAAUAUGUAUGUUAACGUUAUGAGUCAGAUUCUAAGGUUUAAUAUAAUGUUGCUAAAGUAUGAAACAUGAUAUUUUAGAAUAAAUCGUUUUUGUCUAUGGUACAACUGGUACAACUUUUGCCUUUGUAUCAAACAAUACAGGGGAUACUGGUAUAACUGGUCCAACUAUGUCUUAUUUACCAGACUAGUGAUACUGAUAUAACUAGUACAACUAUUCAGGUUCUGAAAUUGAUAUAUUCCAUUGGAUAUUCUAUAUGAAAAAAAAAGCAAUUAGCUGGCCAAAUUGGUAAGUAUUUAGAUAGGUUCCUUUUUAUUUGUGAUAAUUUUUUGUAUUUUUUUGCAGUUUUUACACCAUCUCAUAAGUUUGCAUGAUCUACCUUAUACUUUUAAGAAAAAAAAGCUAAAACAACAUAACUCACCGAGCAAGCAAUAUGUUGAUAUGCUUGAUGUACCAGUCAAGCCAGCUCGAUGUGUUGCUACAGUUAAAUUGUUACUACUGCUACUAUAGUUAAACCAAUUGGACUAUUAUUAUCGUAGUUCAAACACUAAACAUGAAUGAUUCUGUAUUCUUUUGAAUUCAUGAUGGAUUUUGUAUCAUCGUUUUGAAUAUACUCUUUCAAUCGUCUUUUAUUGCAACAUUUUUCCGGUACAGCAGUUGUCAUCUUUGGCUUCAAAAAAAUGAAGAUAAUUUUUUUCCGUAAAUAGUAUAACUAGUACAACUGGUACAAUUGGUAAACAAAUAACUAUCCAAAUAAAUAUUAUAAAAUAACUUUUAACAUAUUUCGACAAAUCAUAUAGUGGAAGAUUAUACCAACUUUUUCAUUGGUUCUACAUCAUCAUCUUAUAACAUCAUUCACAUGCUGAAAACAAAAAGCUAAUAUACCAUAUUAAUUGUAAAGUCAUACUAGUUAUACACGUUCUAAUUAUAUUAUUUAUACUAGUUAUAUUUGUUGUAGUAUUAGUUAUUCACGUUCUAGUUAUACCAGUUAUACUAGUUUCAGUUGUACUGGUUGUACUAGUAAUACUCUGUGUUUUUCAUUGUCGGAAAUUUUGUAUGUUGAACACGAGAUUCAAUUUUAUAUAAAUAAAAUGGAUUGAGAAAGAUGGAGAAUUGAUCGAUUUGGGAUAAGAAUGAAAUUUCAUAAAGUUUGAAGAAUUUUUUCGAUUUUUAUUUGGAUUGUGAGAUGAAGAAAUUUUGAUAAAAAUAAAAAAAAAUUAAAAUCUGGGUUCUUAACAUUGUGAAUCAGGAUUGAUUAUUGAAUAGAUGAAAUUGAGUAACACAAGAGGAAUCAGGUGGAUGUUACAUGAUUUUAGUUGAUUUUGAAAAAAAUAGUAAUGAAAGAUGAAGGUGAAAAUCGUGAGAGGGAUGAUGUUUGAGAAAGAGAGAUUUGGGGAUUUAGAGAUCCAAAUUGAAUAGGAUGGGUUAGUGGGUUAAGAUAGUGAGAGGUUGAGUUAGUAAAUAAGUAGAACUUUCUAGGUUUCAUAGUUUUUUCCUCAUAUUUUUUAUUUAAUUUUAAUUCAUUUUUAAAAUAAAAAGGCAAGAGGUCCAUAUGAGAUUAUUUUGACCCUUUGUGGUCCAUUACAGCAUUUGAUCCGAAAACAGAACAAAAAAAAAAAAAAACAGGAAUCCACCCUCUCACAACGUCAGCAAAGAGCAUUGGACAUUGGAGUUCUCUCGCCAAACCUAGUCGCCGAUUGGCUUGAAGGCUGUUGGGACUUUUACGUAUCUUACAGCCCUUAAAGUUAAUUUUAAGCCAAUCGGACUUUGGCUUUCCGUGUUUUUCUCAAAGCCUUCUAAAGCUUUCAACUGUCGACUGUUUCAAUUUUAUUCUUUGACAUGUUUGUUUAUUCUAAAGCCUCUAAACGAGACUUUUGAUGGCUUUGAGAAUCCUUUUUUUAUUUCUUUAUUUUUAAGGUUUUAUUUUUUAACAAGUUAAACACUUGAACAUAGUAAAACAUUUAACAAAAUUAAAUAAAAUCCAAUAAAAAUCAAAAUAAAUUUAGAUAAUUUUAUUAGUUUUUGUUAUUAACCAAUAAAAAAAUAUGUAUACAGAGUUUUUUUUCAUUUUAAUAUCCAUCUCAUAUAUUUAUUUUCAUAAUUUAUAUGUUACAUACUUUCACGAGCUUUUGGACAUAAUACUAAUAUUUUUUUUAUAUAAGUCAUAGCUUUUAAAGUUUAUGAUACCAAUCAAGCUUUUAAAGUUUAUGAUGUCAAUAAAACUUUUAAAAUAUUCAAAGUAACAGCCACAGCUUUUAAAGUCAAAAUCUCUACGGCUAAAAUUCUAAAGCCACAGCCUAAAGCGAAAGUCGUUAACAAUCGGAGCCCUAAUCUUUUUUCUUUAUGUCAGUAUAGCCACUGCAUCUAUUUUACAUCUUAAUUAACAAUAUACAUAUAAUUUUUAUAGGUGUGAGCUUAAUAUGCCAUCGAUUGACAACUAAAUGAAAAAAAGAACAUGUGAGAUAAGAGAGAUAUAGUGCAUUUACAUUUUAAAUUAUUAUUGUUUAUUUCAUCCUACGAUAUGUUUUGUGUAUAUUUUCUUUUUGAGAUAUGUAAAGCAGACUACCAUAAAUCAUAAUUCCGUAUUUUCUAAA